GAACAGAACAUGGAGGGCGGCGGAGGGAACUUGGGCCAGGAAGAUCCUUAAUUUGUUCAUUUUUCCAGUUCACGGGAGGAAAAAAUGGAAUCCGUUACAGGCCCCAGUUUUCCAAAAGGAUGUUGAGCAUUUGCUUCCCAUUGUGAAAGGAAUGCGGACUCCUUACCUCUAACUAGAGUCAAGGCACCUGAGCAUCGGUGUUUUCCAUAAUGUUCCCUGUUUAAAACAUUUGUGGUUCGUCAUUUGUAGCAGAUGUAUUUAAAGGGCGAGGCCUUAGGAUUAUGUUCAGCCGAUGGUUUAUGAGAGUUUCCCUUGCCUUUGUUCAGGUUGACUGGUCUUAUGUGAAUCCCGGGGUACUCUAGCCCCCUCCCUUGGAGUUUAGACCCAUUCCAUCUAGAUCUGGGAUUCACUCUGAUCACCUGCAACGCCGCCUUUCCCCAAUUCAACUUCCCUAGUUUAUCGCUUCUACCCGCAUUAGGGAAGGCUAGUAAUGGCUCUCCUUGGGCACUGGGGCAGAACAGUGGCGAGAAACACGUCCACAUAGCAUCAGGCAUGCAUACUGUAUACAAAUAGGAGCAAGAAGGGAGAGGACUAGCGAGGUGCGCAGGGUAUUUGAGAGGCUGGAUGAGGAGGCGCGGCGCCGAGGGGCGGCGCUCAAGCUAACAGUAUUUGGAAGACCUGAGUUAAGGGGAGGGGCUCCAGUGGGUGGCGGGGAGAGGGAGGCACGCAUGCGCAAGACUUGAAUGGAGUAGGGGUUGGAGGUUUGGAAGGUCAGGAAGGGAAGGACUCGCAGGCAUAUUUACGAACGCAAAGUUGCUAGGAGUUGGUACCAGCAGUUGGGAGGUAGAGGUGGAGCUCAUGCGUAUUUGAGACAACAUCUUGAAGGUUGGGGAGAACGGUGAUGCCACAUGCAAUCAGAAACUAUGCCACUGGUGAAGAGGUAUAUUGAGCCCUGCCUGGUUAACCUCCAGUGAGGUUAUCAGAGAAUUGGGAGAGGCUCAAACCAGCAUCCUGCACCUAGUUAUCAAACCAUUGUGAAGUCUUGAUUCCUGGAUGGCCAGAAAACUUCUCAUUGGUCAAGAGCAACAUUAAGAUCUCCCUGUUACUCAUACUGAUACUUCCUGCCCAGCAAGUUCAUCAGAGGAAGAGGAUGAAUUACGGUUGCCAUGGAUGUCCUUGUGAGGCAGUUGGGAAGCCUUGGCUGGAUUGUGAAGGAUAUUUGAAAAGUAUUUUAGAGUCCACCAGAUCCUCCAUGUGAAUGACCAUGCAGCAAAAGAAGGAGGGUCCUGUCAGUGAUUAAGGUAACAUAGUGAUGAAGGUAAGUAGGGGAAGAGAGGCUUACUUUGCCCUAAUUCUUGUCAGGGAGGCUCUUAGAACUGCCAUUUCCAGAGCAUAAGUGACAGGCCAGCACUUUCAAAGCCUGCAACUUAUUCUAUAAUAUAUCCUUCUUAAAACAAUUCAUGUAGAUUAUAUGCUUACCCAGUCUGUGAUCACUCCUGCAGAAGAUCAGAAGAACUGAAAUAUAGGUGGCAUAGGCUCUUGCUUUUGUAAAUAUUUUGUUGAAACACAGUUGUGUUCAUUCAUUAUUGUCGAUGGCAGCUUUCAUGCUACAGCAGAGAUGAGUAGUUGGGAGAGAAACCAUAUGGACCAUGGAGUUUGAAAUAUUACUGUCUGGCCCUUCACAGAAAGUUUGCCAAUUCGUGGCAUAGAUUAAAUAAAUGUAAUAUGUCUACAAAUCCUCCUCUCCCCAUUUUCCUUUCAAUGGGACUUGCAUUUACAGUUGAUCCUAGAACAUAUGGAAUCUCAUAGUAAUCAGCUUGCUUCUGAAUUUCUUCCCACUCAAAUUAAGCUCACCUAGAAAGCACAUUCACAAAUUGGGCUACAUAUACAGAAGGAACUAUGUUUUAUAUGCCUCAUCGUAGUCAACUCAUUUAUCCUAUAUGUAUGGUUCCCCCAUUUUUUCCUUCUUUUCAGGGGUGACUUUUAAACUUGAGCCAUUCAUGAGUAUCCAAAAAGUUACAACUUAUGUUUUCUAAUUAAGACUUUAUCCUUAUUUUAGUAUACUUACCCUCCCUGGCUUUUUUGCAUAUUUCUGCAGAUGUCUUGACCUUUCUGGGGAAUAAGCCCCUUUAGAAGAUUAAUUUUCUGUAGUUCUCUAUUGAGGAAAUACAUGACAUUUAGCUUUUUAAUAAUUUGAUGCCAUUCAUUGAGCACCUACUGUGUGCUUUAUGUACCCUGUCUCAUUGAAUUUUUACAGAAAACUGGAAGAGUUAGUUUUGUGUUAUUACUACCUCCAU